CCUACGGGAGGCAGCAGUGGGGGAUAUUGCACAAUGGGGGGAACCCUGAUGCAGCGACGCCGCGUGGGUGAAGGAGGGUUUCGGCGCGUAAAGCCCUAUCGGCAGGGAAGAAGGAGGACGGGACCAGACGAAGAAGCCCCGGCUCACUACGUGCCAGCAGCCGCGGUAAAACGGAGGGGGCAAGCGUUAGCAGGAUGGACGGGGUGGAACGGGGGCGGAGACGGCAGCGCAAGCCAGGAGUGAAAGCCCUGGGCCCAACCCCGGGACUGCUCUUGGAACUGCGCGGCUGGAGUGCAGGAGGGGCAGGCGGAAUUCCUGGUGUAGCUGUGAAAUGCGUAGAUAUCAGGAGGAACACCGGUGGCGAAGGCGGCCUGCUGGACUGCGACUGACGUUGAGGCCCGAAAGCGUGGGGAGCAAACAGGAUUAGAUACCCUUGUAGUC
rnacentral:rRNA from 1 species